rnacentral:rRNA from 1 species
GCAGUCGAGCGGUAGCACAGAGAGCUUGCUCUCGGGUGACGAGCGGCGGACGGGUGAGUAAUGUCUGGGAAACUGCCUGAUGGAGGGGGAUAACUACUGGAAACGGUAGCUAAUACCGCAUAACGUCGCAAGACCAAAGUGGGGGACCUUCGGGCCUCAUGCCAUCAGAUGUGCCCAGAUGGGAUUAGCUGGUAGGUGGGGUAACGGCUCACCUAGGCGACGAUCCCUAGCUGGUCUGAGAGGAUGACCAGCCACACUGGAACUGAGACACGGUCCAGACUCCUACGGGAGGCAGCAGUGGGGAAUAUUGCACAAUGGGCGCAAGCCUGAUGCAGCCAUGCCGCGUGUGUGAAGAAGGCCUUCGGGUUGUAAAGCACUUUCAGCGGGGAGGAAGGCGGUGAGGUUAAUAACCUCAUCGAUUGACGUUACCCGCAGAAGAAGCACCGGCUAACUCCGUGCCAGCAGCCGCGGUAAUACGGAGGGUGCAAGCGUUAAUCGGAAUUACUGGGCGUAAAGCGCACGCAGGCGGUCUGUCAAGUCGGAUGUGAAAUCCCCGGGCUCAACCUGGGAACUGCAUUCGAAACUGGCAGGCUAGAGUCUUGUAGAGGGGGGUAGAAUUCCAGGUGUAGCGGUGAAAUGCGUAGAGAUCUGGAGGAAUACCGGUGGCGAAGGCGGCCCCCUGGACAAAGACUGACGCUCAGGUGCGAAAGCGUGGGGAGCAAACAGGAUUAGAUACCCUGGUAGUCCACGCUGUAAACGAUGUCGAUUUGGAGGUUGUGCCCUUGAGGCGUGGCUUCCGGAGCUAACGCGUUAAAUCGACCGCCUGGGGAGUACGGCCGCAAGGUUAAAACUCAAAUGAAUUGACGGGGGCCCGCACAAGCGGUGGAGCAUGUGGUUUAAUUCGAUGCAACGCGAAGAACCUUACCUGGUCUUGACAUCCACAGAACUUUCCAGAGAUGGAUUGGUGCCUUCGGGAACUGUGAGACAGGUGCUGCAUGGCUGUCGUCAGCUCGUGUUGUGAAAUGUUGGGUUAAGUCCCGCAACGAGCGCAACCCUUAUCCUUUGUUGCCAGCGGUUAGGCCGGGAACUCAAAGGAGACUGCCAGUGAUAAACUGGAGGAAGGUGGGGAUGACGUCAAGUCAUCAUGGCCCUUACGACCAGGGCUACACACGUGCUACAAUGGCAUAUACAAAGAGAAGCGACCUCGCGAGAGCAAGCGGACCUCAUAAAGUAUGUCGUAGUCCGGAUUGGAGUCUGCAACUCGACUCCAUGAAGUCGGAAUCGCUAGUAAUCGUAGAUCAGAAUGCUACGGUGAAUACGUUCCCGGGCCUUGUACACACCGCCCGUCACACCAUGGGAGUGGGUUGCAAAAGAAGUAGGUAGCUUAACCUUCGGGAGGGCGCU